GUGCCAGCCGCCGCGGUAAUACGGGGGGUGCAAGCGUUAAUCGGAUUUAUUGGGCGUAAAGGGCGCGUAGGCGGCUUUGUAAGUCAGAUGUGAAAGCCCGGGGCUUAACCCCGGAAGUACAUUUGAUACUAUAAAGCUUGAGUAUGGGAGAGGGAAGUGGAAUUCCUGGUGUAGCGGUGAAAUGCGUAGAUAUCAGGAGGAACACCGGUGGCGAAGGCGACUUCCUGGACCAAUACUGACGCUCAGGCGCGAAGGCGUGGGGAGCAAACAGGAUUAGAUACCCGGGUAGUCC
rnacentral:rRNA from 1 species